rnacentral:tRNA from 1 species
GCCUUAGUAGCUCAGAUGAAAGAGCGUUGGCCUUGUAAGCCAAAUGUCGGAGGUUUAAACCCUCCCUAAUGCU